UGGGGAAUAUUGGACAAUGGGCGCAAGCCUGAUCCAGCCAUGCCGCGUGAGUGAUGAAGGCCCUAGGGUUGUAAAGCUCUUUUACCAGGGAAGAUAAUGACGGUACCUGGAGAAUAAGCCCCGGCUAACUUCCUGCCCGCAGCCGCGGUAAUACGAAGGGGGCUAGCGUUGCUCGGAAUCACUGGGCGUAAAGCGCACGUAGGUGGGUUCUUAAGUCAGGGGUGAAAUCCUGGAGCUCAACUCCAGAACUGCCUUUGAUACUGGGAAUCUUCGAGUCCGGGAGAGGUGGGUGGAACUGCGAGUGUAGAGGUGAAAUUCGUAGAUAUUCGCAAGAACACCAGUGGCGAAGGCGGCUCACUGGCCCGGUACUGACACUGAGGUGCGAAAGCGUGGGGAGCAA
rnacentral:rRNA from 1 species